rnacentral:rRNA from 1 species
GACGAACGCUGGCGGCGUGCCUAAUACAUGCAAGUCGAACGCAGCGGGGACGGGUGAGUAACACGUGGGUAACCUCCCAUAAGAGGGGAAAACACUUGGAAACAGGUGCUAAACCGAUAUUGAUGGAUGGACCCGCGGUGAAUUUGCUAGUUGGGGAGGUAACGGCCUACCAAGGCCACGAAGCAUAGGCGGGCGAAUAGGGUGAUCUGCCACACUGGGACUAGGAGACGGCCCAGACUCCAACGGGAGGCAGCAGUAGGGAUUAUUCGGCAAUGGACGAAAGGCAGACCGAGAAAGGCCGCGUGAGUGAAGAAGAUUUUCGGAUCGUAAAGCUCUGUAGUUAGAGAAGCGGUAUCUAACCAGAAAGCCACGGCUAACUACGUGCCAGCAGCCGCAGUAAUUC